GAUGAACGCUGGCGGCGUGCCUAACACAUGCAAGUCGAGCGAGGGUUUGCUCAGUAUUGAGUAUUCUAAAACUAGAAUGUUCAAUUCUGAGCAAAACCAAGCGGCGGACGGGUGAGUAACGCGUGGGUAACCUGCCCUAUACACAUGGAUAACAUACUGAAAAGUUUACUAAUACAUGAUAAUAUAUUUGCGGCAUCGCAGAUAUAUCAAAGUGUUAGCGGUAUAGGAUGGACCCGUGUCUGAUUAGCUAGUUGGUGAGAUAACUGCCCACCAAGGCGACGAUCAGUAGCCGACCUGAGAGGGUGAUCGGCCACAUUGGAACUGAGACACGGUCCAAACUCCUACGGGAGGCAGCAGUGGGGAAUAUUGCACAAUGGGCGAAAGCCUGAUGCAGCAACGCCGCGUGAACGAUGAAGGUCUUCGGAUCGUAAAGUUCUGUUGCAGGGGAAGAUAAUGACGGUCCC
rnacentral:rRNA from 1 species